CCUCCGGUUCAAAUUCCCUUCUACUUCCUUCCCAAGGAAACGGCAACGGAGGCUCCUCUCCUCUGAAAAAAAAACCCUAAUUAAUUUCUCCUAUCGAAACGCCUAAUCGAUCUCGCCUUCGCGGGAGAAGACGCAGAGGGAUAGAGAUGGAUAGUAUCCAGAUUCGCUUCGCCGUUUCGCUGGUAACCUCUUUCUUGCUUGCGGCCAGAGCCCUCAAGCGGAAGUCGGUCGAUCUCUCCGGUGUUCUUGUCGGCAUCCCGGUGAUGGUGAUCCACAUGCUGGCCGGCUACAGGUUUGCAGCUCUGCUUCUAGUCUUCUUCUUUACGUCAUCCAAGUUGACGAGGCUUGGAGAGGAGAGGAAGAGGGACAUUGAUGCGGAGUUCAAAGAAGGAGGGCAGCGGAAUUGGGCACAAGUUCUGGCAAAUAGUGCAAUUGCGGCAAUUUUGGUAAUCAUAUUUGCAGCAAUAAAUGGUGGGCAAGAUAGGUGCUUGGACACAAAACAGUCAAGUCUCACGACUGGCCUUCUUGGUGGUAUCAUUGGUCAUUAUGCCUGUUGCAGUGGUGAUACUUGGUCUUCAGAAUUAGGAAUGCUUAGCACUUCACAGCCACGACUAAUUACAACCUUUAAGACAGUCCGAAAGGGCACAAAUGGUGGAGUCACUAUAGAUGGAACUUUAGCAGCUGCAGCAGCUGGCUUUGUUAUCGGUCUGGCUUUUGUCCUUGUUGGGUUGCUUACAACAGAAUGUGCUGGAGAUGUGGCUUGGAGGCAGCUCCUGAUAAUACCUAUAGCUUCAGCAGCAGGGCUUUGCGGAAGCAUGAUGGAUUCGUUACUGGGUGCCACACUUCAGUUCAGUGGAUAUUGCACAUUGCGCAAGAAGGUGGUUGGAAAACAGGGACCAACUGUGAUCAAGAUCUCAGGAAUGAACAUUCUGGACAAUAAUGGGGUCAAUGCAGUAUCAGUAUUGAUAACUACACUACUUACCUCCAUUACCUGCAUUAUCAAUGCAGCAGUUAUGUGAAUUUUCUGAAGGAAUGUCCACUUCACUCUGCAAUGCAACUUUGUGUGUCUGAUAAGCAGAACUUCUAAAAACUUCUAAAAGAUCUUCAUUUACCUCCUCUGAUAGUAACAGUUUAACACCUUUUGGAAAGCUUGGUUAGACUAGUGACUUCAUCACAUUAUCAAAAAGGAUUGGAGAAUUUAGCAUGGUCAAGAUAGACAGUGAGGCUCUUGGCACAAAAUGAACAAAGAUGGAAAUGAGAGACCUGAUGUCUAGUACCUCAAGCAGCGUAAUCAAUUCUGCAUUCUCAAGCCCAGUUAACCCUUCAAGCGCAAAAUUUGUAUUUGAUCCUCGCCUAUAGAGGUUUGUACCUCUCUGCAUGAGUUGAAUUACAAAGAAAGAAAUGAUGCAGCAAAGCAAUGCAAAGUACACACUAAUAUAUUACGGGUUCUAGCAUAUAUUCCAAAGGAACAUAGUUGUUCACAGCAUUCUUAGAGACGCAAAAACAAUGUAAGCAAGUAGUCCA